GUGUACAAGUCGGUUGAGUACCGACUACUGGCGGAAGCUUCCUGACGAAUAUCAGUGCUGCCAAUCCUAUCGUCACGAGAUAACCUCAUUUGUAAGGUUCUGAACACCGAGCAAUACUUGUGCAUAGUUUGCUGCAUCUCUUCUCGCAGCUCGGCGAUAGGAAUACAACCUUUUGCAUAACGAGUCGCGUCGAAGCGGCAAAUAGACUCCUCGCCAACAAUCUGUACAUAUACGCCUGGUCAUGCAGUCGAUCUGAUCGGAGAUUGCCUUGCCAAAAACGACUAACUCCAGAAGGCUAUUGGCGCCUAACCGAUUAGCCCCAUGGACAGACACGCACGCGGUUUCACCUGCUGCCCAGAGUCCUUCGAUCACGCUAUCUUCCUCGUUUUCUCGUGUCAGAACCUUGGGCAGAGUUACCAACCAGUGAUUCAUGCUUCGUGCGUAGUUAGUUUAGCGAAGGGCGUUCUAACUACUCACCUGUGCUCGCCAGUUCGUGGGUAUGCCGCCCAUAUUGUAGUGCACUGUGGGAAUGAUAGGUAUCGGUUCUUUUUCUACAUCCACGCCGCUGAAGACCCAGGCUAAGUGCGAAAUCCCUGGUAGUCGCGUGCGUAUUGUUUCUGUUGGCAAGUGAUGUAGUUGCAAAAAUACAUGGUCUUUCUUCGGACCUACACCUCUGGAAUGGAAUAAAUUUCAUGGAAAUCACAAGGAUAUAGUAGUUUCGUGCUAAUAGAAGGAGAUGAUCUUUAUGUGUUUAAUUUUGCGAGUUAGGUUCGUUUGGAUAAAUUAGGAGUAACUUUCAUAGGAUCGUUAUUAAAGUACAAAUGUGGAAAGUAUAAAUUGUAUAUAUUGAUAUAAGUUAUUUAUAUAUUUAUAUAAUAUUAUAUAACCUAUAUCAAAGAUAUAAUUAUACAAAUAAAUAAAAUAAAUAAAUAAAUAUAUGGAUAUAGACUUGUAAAUUAUGUAAAUUAUGUAUACAUAUGUUUCUUAAGGUAUUUAAAUAUAUGAAUAUCAUUGAAUUUCUUACAAAUCAUCUUACAUAAUAAAUAUAAGAAGUGUUACAAUUUCUUAUCGAGAAAACUUGAGGUUAUCUCAGAGAUUACAAGUUUAUUUCGGACUUAUGAUGUAAUAAAACUUUUCCAUCUUUUUCCAUCUAUGACUUGAAAAUUAUUUCAUGUGCUAAUAUAUCAAUAUUAUAUAAAUAGAUAAUUUAAUAUGUCUACAGUAGUAAGUCUUCUUUCUCGUUCAAUAGUUUUAUCAAAGGUCAAUAUAGAAAUCUCUUUUAAAUUCUGAUAAAUGAGAGAGAAGAUAUAAGAAAAUAGACAUAACGGGAUUGGAUAAAAACAAAUCUGUGUUCAUGAAGUAACGGCGCCGGAGAGCACCGAAGAGUAUGGUAUGUCUCGUUAUACAGUAGAACUCCAUUUAUCUUGACCAGCUCACCAAAAGUAUAUUUGUGAAGAACUAAGUUCAUUUUAAUAUUCCAAAAGUUAAAACCUAAGAUAUUAAGCGAUAAAAUCGGGGAUGUAUUUCACAUUUUAAUUGAAUUUGACAGUGCGUAUUUCUAUUAAAUGUAUCGUAAUUAUUGCAUAUUAAAUUAUUUUCUUUUAUUCGUACAGUCUUGAGACUUUCCACUUGUGGUAUGUAUUACUUUAAACAGUUAAACAUUUAAACAUAAAUGGGGUUCUCUGAUUUUCCCUACUACCAAUGAAUUCCAAGUAAUAGGAGUUCACGUCCAGAUAAAAGUUUAAUUUCUAAGUUUAAUUAUAAGUUAAUGUGUAAUAAGUAAAAUUCAAAUAAAUGAAGUUUUAUUGUC